GCGAGCGUCGAGUCUGUUGCCGCGUGAUCCACGUCGAUAACAAUAAUCUCGGAUUAUCGUCGACAGAACGCCAUCGGCGCUAAUCGGCUGCGUACACGUAGCGAGAGUUUAAAACCGCCAUGCAGAGGAUUAUGCAUCAUUUCUGGCUCUGUUCCCCGGAUUCGAUCCUCUUUUGCCCUGAUUUCACUUUGUUCCAGGUCAAACCUAUCGAACGACAUCGGGUCAAGGUCGAGCCACGAAAGAGUUCUCUUUCGCUGCGACAUUAUAUUUCGCGACGAUUAGAUUCCCUUUUCCAAGGCAGCGAAUAAAGUUUAUCUUUAACUCGAAAUUGCGGUCCCUCGUCAUCGAUUCCGCGAAUCGUGUUUUCGCCAAAGGAAGGCAACAACGAUCGCAUUCAUCGUAUCAAACGCACAGUGUCACUAUGGUUCACCGCAACGAUCGGUAGAAAGUGAUUCCGUUGAAAAUCGUCAACCGUUCAUUGAGCGUCGAGGCCAUUCUUUAACGCGUCGAUUCAUUCCGAGCCCGUUCACAAUUCGCUGGUACUACACCUUUAGAAUCGUCGUAGGUGCUCGUUUCAAAGAUCAUUUUACGGAAUUCAGGUGAACUCGGGCACAGGAGCGUCGAGUUGUAUUUCCGCUCCAUGCUCCGAGGAUUAAAUGCAAUUUGUAGGAAAUCUGGUAUAAAUCUGACACACCGUUUCGUUCCUCUGUUUGAAAAAAAAAAAAAAAAAAAUAAUAUAUAGAAAACCGCGAUCGCGAUCGAAAAGGACGAUAACGUGGCUCGAAUUCAGACCGGAACACGAUUAGUCGCGUUUGAUUGACAGUCGAUGGCGAACCGGUUUUCGAUAAAGUCGCUAAUGAAAUUUCCUUUGAACUUUGUUAACCGCUUGGCCAACAGAGAACACGCGUUAUGAUUUAUACAGUGGCCCUGUUUUUGCCCGGUACAUAUUCGCUGCGACAUUAGUUAGCAAAGCGUAGAGAGGUGACGUUGCGCAAGCGUCAAUUAAGAGGCUCGAUGGUUGGAGAGCGAUAAGCGGUGGAUAGAUCGAUCGCACGAUUUCUGCACUUGCAUGUUCCGCUUUAUUCGUAUUUAUAACGUUGCCCGUUCAUUGUCGAGAACAAUGGGCUUACCGGUUGGUCGUAGAUGAAGGAUCGAAAGGAUCGUGGCUCGGGACACUUUGCGGUUCACUGAACGUCGCGCUUCGUCUUUGUCGCGUUCGGUAGCGAGGAACGUAGGAUAAAGAAGAAGGAAAUAUCAUUUCGACGAUGAAAGUGUAGAGGGGAACAAAUCGUUUCGUUGUUGCACCGAUUUUUCGGAGUAAUCUCGGUGUAAUUGCGUCCACGAUCGGUAGAACGAGAACCGAGCGAAACGGUUUUGCUUGUCGGACAGUUAAAUGGCUCGGGUAAUUUGAAAUGAAACGUUUGCCAGAGGUGAAAUUACGGAAUCGAGUUGCAUAAUUCUGCCUCGUUAGAAACGAUAUCGUCAGGUGUUCAGGAAAUUGAAGCAUUGAACCUACUUUCAGAAUUUUUCUACGCCAAUUACAGCCAGUUAGAGAAUAUAAGCAUUACUAUGCAGCUAUUCGAGACUCGAAACGACUAAAGAAUUUCUUUCAGUCUCUUUUCAAAUGAGCUUUAACUAAAAUACAAAAAAAAAAGGACCUGCACACUAUUUUAUCGCUCAUCAAGAUAUUUCAACGAAUAUGGGGCUCUUGCAAUUUCCAAUACCGCUUCGAGUACAAUAGGACCUCCAUUACCCCGCAUUAACCCAUUUUCCUUCCAUCCUUCUCGUUCGAUGACAUUGCAUUUGACAUUUUUUUCCUCGCGUUCAUUUCCGACUGGCGCACUGGCUUCUUAUAGUUCACGCGUGUAUCUCUAUCGAAACGAGCGACUUUUUAAAUUCCAACAGAUUCGAUUCGCCUCGAUUUGCUCGCGACUCCAUUUAUCCGUCGAUAAAAACGUCCAAGGUAAAUAACAACCCGAUAGAUCGGAGGACUUAAUCGGUCCGGCAAGAAUGGACAGGUGGAUGUUGGGAAAUCGCCAACGACAAAAAGUGUUUAUCGCGACCAGGGGGUCGAGGGGACGUUUAUAUCGACAACGCGAUACUUCUCGCCGGGACCAUUAGUGGGCAAGGUCGGAACGGCGCAAACACUCGUCGAUAGCAAGAAAGCUCGCGAAACGGUAUAAUAGCGAUCGAGAAAGGAGGAUGAUGGAAAAAAGCGUUGUACGAAUGGGAAGGGUGGAGCAAGGAUGGCGAGGGUGCGCUACGUCAAACUAAAGCGAAGGAUGAGAGCGUUCGGUCAAGAUAGGUGGGAGGGAAAAAAAAAGAGGAAAGAGGGUUAUUUGCUGGAUGCCGGUGCAACACCACCGAGCCGAUAUUAAACCCACAUGAUUUACAAGCGUGAAAUUUGAUUCGCUGGCGAGGAAACAACAGGCAAUAAUCAAUUUCUCGGGCCAACAAAAGAUAUGGCGUUUCAUUAUAAAUUAUUGGCAGCCCGUAACCCAAGGCGGAUACAACGCGGAUCCGGCAGAAAUGUUCCUCCCGAUCCGCUUGCCGAACAUGAAUUGUGAUAUUCGCGAUGGAAACCGCUCCUCGCGUGCGAUCCGUUCCCUGCUACUUACGUCAAUCCUCCUGCCAAAUCGAUUUCUUUACCAAUCUAUUCGACGAUAACAGAAUUUUUUCAUUAAAUUAAUACCGCAACGACGCUCGCGUCUUCGCUAGAAUCAUUGAUUCUAGUUAAACUGUGUCGCCGUAAAAGAAGGAAAGAAACGUCGAAAGCUUGUAUGUAGACGCAGAUAAAAUGAAGAGAGGACAAAAAGGGGCAUAGUUCGGUCCUCGAAGGUUGUCGGAAACACCUUUAUAAGUGGGACUUUACACCGGGCCACUAAAGAUAAGCCGAGAACCCGGUCGAUGAUGUAUGUUUGAGAAAUGCAAGCGGAGAGGAAUUAAGAUUUACAACGAACCGUAUAACCAUUGUAGCUGUUUCGGUCUCCCUUUCGAACACGCGCUUCAACUAGGCUGACAAGAAUUUUAAGGAGAGAUCCCAUUCGACUUGCUCGGAACAUAAUAAAGCUCGUUUGCCCGUCGCGGUCGUAAAUAUUUAUCGGUGGGGAAAAGAGUUACACAACGGGGAGAAAACGGUUUUAUUUACUCUGUGGCAGCGCCAAGUUGCAAACGCGCCACGAUUUACGGCCGUUCGCCACGAUAAUUCCUCCCCAACUAUACCUUCUGACGAGCGCGAGAGAUUUCGCUAACUAUUAUGCCACCCGUCGACCAUAACGCACGCUUUUCUCCCUUGCAGAAUCCUGCAACUUCUUCACGGGCAAUCUCUUCGACGCACUUUUGUUAAUAUCGAACUUUUUCAUCCCUCCUCGAUCUUUUAUAGCCACCAAUUUAUAUCCGAAAAGCAAUAACAUCGUUGGAAGUGAAUUUUUCUACGGUAUCCACGAUAAUUUUCAUCCCCUUCGACUUCUCUUAAACAUCUCGCUCGAUUAGCUUGUUAGAGCGAAAAGUUGAGGCAAGUUCCUCGAAUCGGCGCGGCGAGAGGAAACGAAAAGCAGGGCGAUCGUAUCGGCGAUAAUCGGCGGAGGAAAAUGCGAGGGAAACAAGGGGCGUGACGGUGUAAGCGUGCCAAGGUGAUUCUCAUUCCGUCCCGGGUUUCGCGUAUGCGUCAGAAGAGAGACGAAAUGGAAAUGGAUGGAGAACGCGGAGGUAUAUCGCAGGUAGAAGGUAGACGAGAGGGCCAGGGGAUCGUGUCAGAGCAGGCUCGUUAAACGGGCUAAAGCGUUUACAGUGGCUGUGUUUCACCGGCCAGCAAUGUGAAACAGUUACACAAUUAUCGAAAAACCAUUAGGCCGGCAUUGGCCGGUGACGGGGUGGCUCGUACGAGCGAGAUGGUUCGAAGCUGAUGCACCCGGAUUAGAGAAAGAUGCUACCAUUUCCAUCGGCGUUCUGAAAAGUUUUCAACGAAGACGAAGAAAUCGAGGCGGUCCGUUUAAAAGCCGAGGCAGGCGAAGUUGCGACAGCUUAGCGGGCCGAUUAAAAGCGCGUUUAAUGGAGCUAAAAAAGAGGCGAAAUAGAAACGUUCGAUCAAGCGGAGGGACAAGUUGCUAAUUGGCGCCGGCUGAAGCAUACGAGAACAAAAUCUCGAAUUUUUCUUUCUAAUGCUAUUUAGAAGGCUGUUCUAAAACUCUGACCGUUGCAUCUCGAGGUCGAAGAAAAACGCGGCGGCCUGUAAUUAGAAAUACAGGCCAGAAUGGGUGGAGAAGUGGAGGAGGCAUCGAAGGUCCGAGCCAGCUGGAGGAAUGACAGCGGUUUCAGGAAGAAUAAACGAGGCGUGGCACCGCCUCCACCAUAUAUUUCUUUUUCUAGGACUUCUAGGGGAAUCUACACGAAUAUAGACGUUCUCGUAUUGUUAGGCAAAUUUAUAAGAUCCUUGUUCGACGGCAAAGAAACAAGCGGUGUAGACGAGGAAGCUAGAGCGAGGCGAACGCAGGGAUAUGUAGACAGGAAAAAGAAAAAGAAAAAGAAAAAGAAAAAGAAAAAACAUAGUAAAUCAUCGUGGCUCGUUUCGCGAAGACUUUACGAGCGGCUGGCUGUCGGCGUUCGAUAAUGAAAAUACCUGUAUAUUUAUCGUUGCACGUCGAUUCGUGCGCAACAUUGAGCCUUUUGUUGAAUCCAAGUAUCGUAGCGUGAAAUAUAAUUGAUUUACUUCUUACGAAGUUUUCUUUCAUUUUCUUAAUACUUUGACGGAUGCCUUGGAACUCAAAGGAAAGUGAUAUCAAUAAUUAAUUAGCAAGAAACUUUGCGUUACAAAUUCAUCAAAGAUUCCACCAGAUUUUCGAGGGUUCCUUUCGUUCGGGAAAGUUAUUUUCCAACUUCCUAUUGACCAAAAGUUUGGUCCAACUUGUUAUCGCGACAGAUAAAAAGGGUAGCCGCUAACGAAGUCGCGGGGUUAUUAAUGUACGUAAAGAGAGAUAGGUGGAUCGGUAUCGAUGGCUUAGCAGCUAGAUAAAAUUCGUUCCAAGGACCGGGGGGGGCAAUUUUUCUUAAAGGCUUCGAUUUAUCUUCGCCAUUGAACACGAGCAGCCGUGAAUGCCAAAGAGAUAUCAAAGGGGAAACACGAAUCACGCGGAUGAAUGGGAACGAUCGCGAUCGCGAUCCAUGAAUCGUUGUGUUCUCGCUUAGAUACGUCCGUACGGAUUUCUUCCUCCGCUAAUAUUUUUUGCUCAAUGUUUCGCUCGAAACUUAUAUUCGUUUCUCAAUAAAAAAGAAAGAAAAAAAAAAAGAAUAAUUUGUAUAUUUAUUAAACGAUCCUCGAUUAAGAUCCUUGUCCGUCCGACCGAUUUACGAGUGUUCUCUGGCAAGCAAUUCAUAGAACGAUUUAAUCGGUGAAAAACGCAGGGUGCAAGCAGGGACGGUAGCAGUUCCAGUGACUGGUAACAAGAGUUUAACAACGA